AAAAAAACGUUGAAGACAAAAAAAAAAAAAAAAAAGCUCGGCCAUGGAGCAAUGUUAACCGAGAGGGAGAUUGGAGAAAAAGAAAAAUUUGAGGUGUGAAAUUGUUGUAACAUUCAAGUGAUUAGCAAGGUUAAGAAGCCAAGUUGAUUAAGGCUAAAAGAGCGACGAGACGAACGGGUUACGAAUAGCCGCUAACAGGUACAGACGUUCGUUCAGGUAACCCGCCAGUGUAGGGUACUUAUUCUGCUGUUUGGAGUACUCCUUUUGAUCCGGAGCUCAUAUUUUUGGUACCUAUCUUUUGUGAUACAUGUUUCUGUAUAUCUGAUUAUUUGGGGUACGGCGGGGCCCUGUCCCGCCAUAUAAUUCUGUCAUGGUUUGUAGAGGCCUGUAGACAUAUAUGUGGGUCAUGGGUUAUGUUUGUUCGAAUAUGUUUGUGAUUUGUGCCUUAAGCGGUCCCGUUUGCUAUUAUGGCCAAGACGGCCCAUAUGUUUGUAUAUGUAUGUAUAUCUGGGCGAUGUGUAUUCCGCCA